rnacentral:rRNA from 1 species
UACGUAGGGUGCGAGCGUUGUCCGGAAUUAUUGGGCGUAAAGAGCUCGUAGGCGGCUUGUCGCGUCGGCUGUGAAAGCCCGGGGCUUAACUCCGGGUCUGCAUUCGAUACGGGCAGGCUAGAGUUCGGUAGGGGAGAUCGGAAUUCCUGGUGUAGCGGUGAAAUGCGCAGAUAUCAGGAGGAACACCGGUGGCGAAGGCGGAUCGCUGGGCCGAUACUGACGCUGAGGAGCGAAAGCGUGGGGAGCGAACAGG